rnacentral:rRNA from 1 species
GGGCCCGCACAAGCGGUGGAGCAUGUGGUUUAAUUCGAUGAUACGCGAGGAACCUUACCAGGGCUUAAAUGUAGAUUGCAUAAGCUAGAGAUAGCUUUUUCUUCGGACUAUCUACAAGGUGCUGCAUGGUUGUCGUCAGCUCGUGCCGUGAGGUGUCAGGUUAAGUCCUAUAACGAGCGCAACCCCUGUCGUUAGUUGCCAACAGGUUAUGCUGGGAACUCUAACGAGACUGCCGGUGCAAACUGAGAGGAAGGUGGGGACGACGUCAAAUCAUCACGGCCCUUACGUCCUGGGCUACACACGUGCUACAAUGGUCGGUACAGAGAGCAGCCACCUUGCGAAAGGGAGCAAAUCUUCAAAACCGAUCUCAGUUCGGAUCGCAGUCUGCAACUCGACUGCGUGAAGCUGGAAUCGCUAGUAAUCG